rnacentral:rRNA from 1 species
GACGAACGCUGGCGGCAUGCCUAAUACAUGCAAGUCGAGCGAACAGAUGAAGUGCUUGCACUUUUGACGUUGGCGGCGAACGGGUGAGUAACACGUAAGGAAUCUACCUAUAAGCGGGGGAUAACAUUCGGAAACGGGUGCUAAUACCGCAUAAUAUCUUCUUCCGCAUGGAAGAAGAUUGAAAGACGGCUCUGCUGUACUUAUAGAUGACCUUGCGGUGCAUUAGUUAGUUGGUGGGGUAACGGCCUACCAAGACGAUGAUGCAUAGCCGACCUGAGAGGGUGAUCGGCCACAUUGGGACUGAGACACGGCCCAAACUCCUACGGGAGGCAGCAGUAGGGAAUCUUCCGCAAUGGGCGAAAGCCUGACGGAGCAAUGCCGCGUGAGUGAAGAAGGCCUUCGGGUCGUAAAACUCUGUUAUAAGAGAAGAACAAAUUGUAGAGUAACUGCUACAGUCUUGACGGUAUCUUAUCAGAAAGCCACGGCUAACUACGUGCCAGCCGCCGCCGUAA